GGUGGUGCAUUUGACGGUUACGAGAAUGGAGGGAACAAAGGGCUGAAUCAUUGCCUCACUUAUAUAAAUCUCGAUGAGAUUUAUUUUGCAAUACCAAACAGCAUCAAUUGUGCUUUGAACUUGUUGAGGAGCUCCCCUAAUUUGGAGUCUCUUGAAAUUUUUUGCAUCAAUAAUAUGGAUUAUAACAAGAAGGGAGCCCUUGCUUGUCUGAAGCGCACAUCAACUAUUCCUUUGAAACAUCUGAAAAAUGUGAAGAUCUUCAUGUCUAGUCAUGCCGUGGAAAGAGAAUUCCUAAGAAAGUUUUUGCAGUGGGCAAAUGAACUUAAGAAUCUGAAUAUUACAUCUUAUUGUUCCAUGUUUGAGCCGGGAAGAUACAAAAUGGGGCCACUCAUAGCAAAACUCCCUCGAUUGACGGCAGCGAAAAUCUUAUUUAAAGGCUCAUUUAAAGAUCCUUGUGUUUCUUAAGAUCUCUCGGGUAAUAUGUUUCGAAUGUUUUGGUCAUCUCUUGGUUUUGCUAUAUAUAUAUAUAUUUAUAUGGAAUGUUGUUAGUUGGUCAUAAGCUUCAGCUGCCUCCUCCUGUGUGUCUGUCGAUAAAUAUAUGAAGAAUCAGCGGUAAAGACAGGGGUAAAAUAUCGAUUCAAUGUUUUUUUUUUUAUUUUAUUCAUAGUCUACGUAUGCAUUUUUCGUCGGUUCGUUGGCAGUGGGAAUAAAAAUAAGGUUCGAUUAUAUUGGGACAAAAAAUGAUAGAGUUUUGGUUAUAUUGAGACUAGAAUUGAUAAAAAUUUUAUAUUGAGACCAAAAAUAAUAAAUUUUGGUUAUAUUGGGACAAAAAAUAAUAAAUUUUGGUUAUAUUGAGAUCAAAAUUGAUAAGAUUUUUAUAUUGGACAAAAAAUAAUUUUUUCCCUUUUUAUAAAAACUAAUAUAUAUAUAUUGGAAUAAAAAUAAUUUAGACAAGCAAACCCAAAUAUUCUCGUAUUCUUUCAUUUCUUUCACCUUUCUUUUCUUUCCUGUUCUCAUCCUUCAUCCUUCUUCGUCUUACUGCUCUCGGCGAUGGUGACUGCGGUUCACUGUUUGAAGAAUGAAGGAAGUUUCGAACCAUGUAAUGUUUCGGUUUCGCUGCAGCUGCUGCUAUGGAUUUCUUGGGAUAAAAUCAAGGAUUGAUUAGGGCUUUUUGACUGCGUUAAUUAGGGUUGUGCUCAGUAGUUAUUUGCCGGGUUUAAUUUGUCUUUACAGUUCGGGUUGGGUGUGAAGUUAUGGCGAGAGGCAACAAUGGUGUGGAUAGGGUUAGUAAUCUUCCAUUCAAUGUGACUUACCACAUAAUUGGGUAUUUGCCCCUGCGUGAUGCUGUCAGGACGAGCACACUCUCAAAAGGGUGGAAGUAUAAAUGGAUUACAAUUCCAGCCCUUGUUUUCGAUAAAAAAUUCAAAGAUUCUUUGAGAUGGUGUGAUCUUGAAUCCUUAGUAGAUCGAAUCCUUGUUCUUCAUAGAGGACCUAUAACCAAAUUUUCAUUGAAGGAAUGUUAUGAAGUUACUAGGAAUGCUGCCAGUACAAGGAAUGCUGCCAUUGAUCGAUGGCUCCUUUUCUUGUCGUACCACCAUACUCAUUAUAUCGAAGACCUCUCGCUUUCUUAUUAUGUCCAUGAAUCUGUCUCUCAUGUGAUUCCUUCAGUUCUGUUUGCUUUGGAACACCUCACAAAUUUGUGUCUUGAAGGUGUUAGAAUCGAACUUCCAUGGCAAUUUAGUGGAUUUGGUAGGCUUAUUAAACUCAAACUUUCGUGUGUUUCAAUGGAGCUUGAUGAGCUGAUAACAUUACUUUCUAAAUGUCCGAUGCUCGAAUGCUUUGACUUUGAGUUGAAGAACUCAUUCAUUAUUGGUGAGGAUAAAGAGAGCAACAAAGAGCUGAAUCAUCGUCUCAAUGUUCUGAAACUUGACACUAGUUUUAGAGCACUGGACAACGUUGAUUGUGUUCUUAGCUUGCUCAAAAGCUCUCCAAAUUUGAAGUCUCUUGAUAUUUCAUGCGACGACUCUAUCUUUGAUGUCGAGGAGCUCUCUAUUAACUGUAUGAAGUUUGCAGACCCUAUUCAUCUGAAUCACUUGGAAAGUGUAAAGAUCUCCUUCUUCUCCGGUUCUGCAGGGGAGAUGGAGUUCGUAAGGAAUGUUUUGCAGUGGGCAAGUGCACUGAAACAUAUGACAUUGGAAUCUACUUUCUGGGGUGUCGAAAUCGGGCCGGAUUUUAGUAAGAUGGUAACAGACUUGGCUAAGUUUCCUCGAUCAUCAUCUGCAGCCCGCAUCAGAUUCGAAGCCGGGUGGAGUUUGUAAUUAUCUACAUCCAAGGAGAGAUGAAAGAACUUCCGAACAAGCUUAAUUAUCUCACUAUUCGUCAUCUCGGGGAUGUCAACUUCCUAGACUUGGGAAACACCGAACUGCUUCUGAACUUGAUCAAUAGCUCUCCCAACUUGCAAAGUCUAAAACUUUAUGGUGAUGGUGCAUUUAGGGAUGAGAGUAGUGUCACUGAAUAUAUGAAGGCACAACACGAUUUUAAUAUUUGUCUCAGUCGCCUUGAAGAUGUGACGAUUUGGUUUAUGAUGGGUUAUCCAGCGGAGUUGGAGUUUGUGAAUAUCCUUUUUCGGUGGACAACUACGCUUAAAGAAUUGGGAAUAUAUACUCCUAUAGAGAGUCGUCAAAUGGUUGAAGCAUUUACCGAGUUACUAGUAUGGUGUUUGUAAAAAAUUUGUUUUAUUGCCUACUUCUUGUCAUUUUAUAGAUUAUUUGCAACCAUACAACUUUAAAUGCUUGAGUAGUCAAACUUUUGUAAAUCAAAUGAGACAUCCCUAACUUGAGGGCUAGGUUCUGGGUUCGAUAUCGAGUAUGUGUG